UACGGGGGGGGCAAGCGUUGUUCGGAAUUACUGGGCGUAAAGGGCGCGUAGGCGGAUAACCAAGUUGGGGGUGAAAUCCCGGGGCUUAACCUCGGAACUGCCUCCAAAACUGGUUGUCUUGAGUUUGGGAGAGGUGUGUGGAACUCCGAGUGUAGAGGUGAAAUUCGUAGAUAUUCGGAAGAACACCAGUGGCGAAGGCGACACACUGGCCCAAUACUGACGCUGAGGCGCGAAAGCGUGGGGAGCAAACAGG
rnacentral:rRNA from 1 species